CAGCAGCCGCGGGAAUACCAGCAGCCCAAGUGGUGGUCGCGCUUAUUGGGCCUAAAGCGCUCGUAGCCUGGCCGGUAAGUUCCCCGUGAAAUCGGGUCGCCCAACGAUUCGGCUUGCGGGGAAUACUGUCGGUCUUGGGGCCGGGAGACGCCGAGGGUACUCCGGGGGUAGCGGUGAAAUGCUGUAAUCCUCGGGGGACUACCAGUGGCGAAGGCGCUCGGCGAUAACGGGCCUGACGGUGAGGGGCGAAAGCUGGGGGCGCGAACGGGAUUAGAUACCCCAGUAGUCCCUGUCUCUUAUA
rnacentral:rRNA from 1 species